CAACCACAAGAUUAAAGUCAAAAGAAAAAAAAAGAAAAGUUGCAACAAAGCAGUGGAGAAACAGAUGAGAAGAAGAACAAUAUUACUUCCUAUUGAUUUUUAUGCUGCAAAGUGUACCCGCCACAUCGAGGCCGUCGUCGUUUGCCAAGACGCCCCUUCGGCCCGACCGGCCGUAUACAAUUUACUUUGUAGCCCCAUCACCAUGCCAACAGAAGAACUGUUGUAUAUUCAUCUACAUACAUCCAAUGGUGUGCAUAAACACCAGCAAAAAAAAAAUCCAAAAACAAGAAGGAAAAUCCAAAGGGAAAGAAGCAACAAAAAAAUGCCAGUCAAUUUUCGUUUCACUCCGGCCAUUGCCGCCGCCUAAAGCUAAAGUAAAGUGCAACAUAAAAAGGAGAAGCAGAAGUAGAAGAACAAGAAAAAGUAAAAACAAACCCUACCUCCAUCCGCCAUACAACACACAGCAUAGACCAUAGCCCCAACAUUCUCAUCCGUCCAACCAUCCAUUCAAUCACACACAAUUCAACAAACUUGAAUUAACAACUUGCACACAGACAUUGCUGCUGCGCUGAUGUGCGAUCUGCACAUGUGAAUGUAUGAGUGUAUGGAGCAACGUUUGCUUUUCUGUGUUGUACGAGUCCGGUUCCCCCACUAGAAAAUCACAAAAUCGUGAGACGUUUUUUAGAUACAUUUACUGCUGCUGCUGUUAGUGAUGUCGCCGACACGAAUGCAUUCAUAUAUAUGUGCGCACAUGCACACUCACUCUGCUGCCUUUGUUAACAGUUAAUGUUGUCGUUGUUGUUCUUGUUUUGGAAAAUGCGCUCUAGAAAGCCAGAAGAUACAAACAAACCAAAUAUAACCAACCAUAUGAUGCAAACAAUGCCAAGUAAAAGCUCAGAAUGAAGGGAGGCAUAAAUGUGAAAAGGAUUUUCCCCAAGAGAGGAGUUACCACCACGAUUUUCGAACGAAUCGAAAUCUGAAAGUGCUACAAUUCAACGAAUUGGGGCUGAUCGAUCUAUAAAGGAGCCAUAUGAAAAUAUUGCCUGAUUUUUGAUUUAGGUCCUUUCGACCUCACUGACAUCGAACUUAAGCCCUCGCGCCACCAUUCUGUCCACAUAAAUCAGGAAUUUCUCCAGAAUUUCGAUUGUAGCUAUCCUAAUGGCACAUCUGUUCCUGAAACAUCGUACACUCGUCCGGCAGUAUUUGAAUCGACAUACAGAUACUCGUGCCCAUAACUAAGAGUCUUAAACAUAACUUUCGUCAGAGAAGGGAAUUAAAGCCUCUACAUCAAUAUGAGGCAGAGGAAGAACUAUGUGGUCUACGGACUGAUUCGUAAACUAAAUCUGCCUUUAGACGAUAAGACAUGCCAUAUGUAAUUUCAAAACAGCAACUCUGAAAGUUAUAUACAUCGUUUGUCUAAUGGCAGCUUAAAGAUCAAGUAAAAUUUGCACCAAAGAAGCCAAUGCUAGAAUGGGAGGCAGAGGAAGAACUAUAUGGUCUACGGACUGAUUCGUAAACUAAAUCUGCCAUUAGACGAUAAGACAUGGCAUAUGUAAUUUCAA